rnacentral:rRNA from 1 species
UAAGCGCUGAAAGCAUCUAAGCGCGAAGCCAACUCCAAGAUCAGAAAUUUUUGACUCCAGGAAGACUACCUGGUAAAAAAGCCUGUCGUAAGACAGGACGGAUAGGCGGUCGGUGUAAGCCCUGUAAAGGGUUAAGCCAAGCCGUACUAAGUG